CAGCCGCCGCGGGAAUACGUAGGUGGCAAGCGUUGUCCGGAAUUAUUGGGCGUAAAGGGCUCGCAGGCGGUUUCUUAAGUCUGAUGUGAAAGCCCCCGGCUCAACCGGGGAGGGUCAUUGGAAACGGGGAAACUUGAGUGCAGAAGAGGAGAGUGGAAUUCCACGUGUAGCGGUGAAAUGCGUAGAGAUGUGGAGGAACACCAGUGGCGAAGGCGACUCUCUGGUCUGUAACUGACGCUGAGGAGCGAAAGCGUGGGGAGCGAACAGGAUUAGAUACCCCGGUAGUCCCUGUCUCUUAUAC
rnacentral:rRNA from 1 species